rnacentral:rRNA from 1 species
UACGAAGGGGGCGAGCGUUGUUCGGAUUUACUGGGCGUAAAGGGCGCGUAGGCGGCGGACCAAGUCGAGUGUGAAAGCCCCGGGCUCAACCUGGGAGGUGCGCUCGAGACUGGUCUGCUUGAGUUCGGGAGAGGAGCGUGGAAUUCCCAGUGUAGAGGUGAAAUUCGUAGAUAUUGGGAAGAACACCGGUGGCGAGGGCGGCGCUCUGGACCGAGACUGACGCUGAGGCGCGAAAGCGUGGGGAGCAAACAGG